rnacentral:rRNA from 1 species
UUCGGUCGGGAACUCAAAGGAGACUGCCAGUGAUAAACUGGAGGAAGGUGGGGAUGACGUCAAGUCAUCAUGGCCCUUACGACCAGGGCUACACACGUGCUACAAUGGCGCAUACAAAGAGAAGCGACCUCGCGAGAGCAAGCGGACCUCAUAAAGUGCGUCGUAGUCCGGAUUGGAGUCUGCAACUCGACUCCAUGAAGUCGGAAUCGCUAGUAAUCGUGGAUCAGAAUGCCACGGUGAAUACGUUCCCGGGCCUUGUACACACCGCCCGUCACACCAUGGGAGUGGGUUGUAAAAGAAGUAGGUAGCUUAACCUUCGGGAGGGCGCUUACCACUUUGUGAUUCAUGACUGGGGUGAAGUCGUAACAAGGUAACCGUAGGGGAACCUGCGGUUGGAUCACCUCCUUACCUGAAAGAAGC